UACAGAGGUCUCAAGCGUUGUUCGGAUUCAUUGGGCGUAAAGAGCUCGUAGGUGGUUUGUUACGUCUGCUGUGAAAACCUAGGGCUUAACCCUGGGCUUGCAGUGGAUACGGGCAGACUAGAGGUAGGUAGGGGAGAAUGGAAUUCCUGGUGUAGCGGUGAAAUGCGCAGAUAUCAGGAGGAACACCGGUGGCGAAGGCGGCUACCUGGCACAUAACUGACGCUGAUACGCGAAAGCGUGGGGAGCGAACCGG
rnacentral:rRNA from 1 species